GAUGAAGAACGUAGCGAACUGCGAUAAGUAAUGUGAAUUGCAGAAUUCAGUGAAUCAUCGAGUCUUUGAACGCACAUUGCGCCCCCUGGCAUUCCGGGGGGCAUGCCUGUCCGAGCGUCUUUGCUGCCCUUCAAGCCCGGCUUGUGUGUUGGGUCGUCGUCCCCCCCGGGGGACGGGCCCGAAAGGCAGCGGCGGCACCGCGUCCGGUCCUCGAGCGUAUGGGGCUUUGUCACCCGCUCGAUUAGGGCCGGCCGGGCGCCAGCCGGCGUCUCCAACCUUCUAUUUUACCAGGUUGACCUCGGAUCAGGUAGGGAUACCCGCUGAACUUAAGCAUAUCAAUAAGCGGAGGA
rnacentral:misc_RNA from 1 species